UUCCUUGAUCGAGUGGCGAACGGGUGAGUAACGCGUGAGGAACCUGCCUCAAAGAGGGGGACAACAGUUGGAAACGACUGCUAAUACCGCAUAAGCCCACGGCUCGGCACCGAGCAGAGGGAAAAGGAGCAAUCCGCUUUGAGAUGGCCUCGCGUCCGAUUAGCUAGUUGGUGAGGUAACGGCCCACCAAGGCGACGAUCGGUAGCCGGACUGAGAGGUUGAACGGCCACAUUGGGACUGAGACACGGCCCAGACUCCUACGGGAGGCAGCAGUGGGGAAUAUUGCACAAUGGGGGAAACCCUGAUGCAGCGACGCCGCGUGGAGGAAGAAGGUCUUCGGAUUGUAAACUCCUGUUGUUGAGGAAGAUAAUGACGGUACUCAACAAGGAAGUGACGGCUAACUACGUGCCAGCAGCCGCGGUAAAACGUAGGUCACAAGCGUUGUCCGGAAUUACUGGGUGUAAAGGGAGCGCAGGCGGGCGAUCAAGUUGGAAGUGAAAUCCAUGGGCUCAACCCAUGAACUGCUUUCAAAACUGAUUGUCUUGAGUAGUGCAGAGGUAGGCGGAAUUCCCGGUGUAGCGGUGGAAUGCGUAGAUAUCGGGAGGAACACCAGUGGCGAAGGCGGCCUACUGGGCACCAACUGACGCUGAGGCUCGAAAGUGUGGGUAGCAAACAGGAUUAGAUACCCUGGUAGUCCACACCGUAAACGAUGAUUACUAGGUGUUGGAGGAUUGACCCCUUCAGUGCCGCAGUUAACACGAUAAGUAAUCCACCUGGGGAGUACGACCGCAAGGUUGCAACUCAAAUGAAUUGACGG
rnacentral:rRNA from 1 species